rnacentral:piRNA from 1 species
UAAAACAGAGACUUUUAAAGUAUAUACGGAU